GACGAACGCUGGCGGCGUGCCUAACACAUGCAAGUCGAACGGAACUGUUUUGAAAGAUUUCUUCGGAAUGAAUUUGAUUUAGUUUAGUGGCGGACGGGUGAGUAACGCGUGAGUAACCUGCCUUCAAGAGGGGGAUAACAUUCUGAAAAGAAUGCUAAUACCGCAUGAUAUAUCGGAACCACAUGAUUUUGAUAUCAAAGAUUUUAUCGCUUGAAGAUGGACUCGCGUCCGAUUAGUUAGUUGGUGAGGUAACGGCUCACCAAGACCGCGAUCGGUAGCCGGACUGAGAGGUUGAACGGCCACAUUGGGACUGAGACACGGCCCAGACUCCUACGGGAGGCAGCAGUGGGGGAUAUUGCGCAAUGGGGGCAACCCUGACGCAGCAACGCCGCGUGAAGGAUGAAGGCUUUCGGAUUGUAAACUUCUUUUAUUAAGGACGAAAAUUGACGGUACUUAAUGAAUAAGCUCCGGCUAACUACGUGCCAGCAGCCGCGGUAAUACGUAGGGAGCAAGCGUUGUCCGGAUUUACUGGGUGUAAAGGGUGCGUAGGCGGCUUUGCAAGUCAGAUGUGAAAUCUAUGGGCUCAACCCAUAAACUGCAUUUGAAACUGUAGAGCUUGAGUGAAGUAGAGGCAGGCGGAAUUCCCCGUGUAGCGGUGUAAUGCGUAGAGAUGGGGAGGAACACCAGUGGCGAAGGCGGCCUGCUGGGCUUUAACUGACGCUGAGGCACGAAAGCGUGGGUAGCAAACAGG
rnacentral:rRNA from 1 species